CCUACGGGUGGCAGCAGUGAGGAAUAUUGGUCAAUGGGCGAGAGCCUGAACCAGCCAAGUCGCGUGAAGGAUGACUGUCUUAUGGAUUGUAAACUUCUUUUGUAGGGGAAUAAAGACUGGCACGUGUGCUGGAGUGAAUGUACCCUACGAAUAAGCAUCGGCUAACUCCGUGCCAGCAGCCGCGGUAAUACGGAGGAUGCGAGCGUUAUCCGGAUUUAUUGGGUUUAAAGGGUGCGGAGGCGGCCUGUUAAGUCAGCGGUGAAAUCUAGGGGCUUAACUCCUAAAUUGCCAUUGAUACUGGUGGGCUUGAGUGUAGAUGAGGUAGGCGGAAUGCGUGGUGUAGCGGUGGAAUGCAUAGAUAUCACGAAGAACUCCAAUUGCGAAGGCAGCUUACUAAGGUACAACUGACGCUGAAGCACGAAAGCGUGGGUAUCAAACAGGAUUAGAUACCCUUGUAGUC
rnacentral:rRNA from 1 species